UACGUAGGGUGCGAGCGUUGUCCGGAAUUAUUGGGCGUAAAGAGCUCGUAGGCGGUGUGUCGCGUCGGCCGUGAAAACCUGCAGCUUAACUGUGGGCUUGCGGUCGAUACGGGCAUCACUGGAGUUCGGCAGGGGAGACUGGAAUUCCUGGUGUAGCGGUGAAAUGCGCAGAUAUCAGGAGGAACACCGGUGGCGAAGGCGGCCCUCUGGACGGAUACUGACGUGGAGGCGCGAAAGCGUGGGGAUCAA
rnacentral:rRNA from 1 species